rnacentral:rRNA from 1 species
AGCGAACGCUGGCGGCAGGCUUAACACAUGCAAGUCGAGCGGGCACUUCGGUGUCAGCGGCAGACGGGUGAGUAACACGUGGGAACGUGCCCUUCGGUUCGGAAUAACUCAGGGAAACUUGAGCUAAUACCGGAUACGCCCUUUUGGGGAAAGGUUGACCGCCGAAGGAUCGGCCCGCGUCUGAUUAGCUUGUUGGUGGGGUAACGGCCUACCAAGGCGACGAUCAGUAGCUGGUCUGAGAGGAUGAUCAGCCACACUGGGACUGAGACACGGCCCAGACUCCUACGGGAGGCAGCAGUGGGGAAUAUUGGACAAUGGGCGCAAGCCUGAUCCAGCCAUGCCGCGUGAGUGAUGAAGGCCUUAGGGUUGUAAAGCUCUUUUGUCCGGGACGAUAAUGACGGUACCGGAAGAAUAAGCCCCGGCUAACUUCGUGCCAGCCGCCGCCGUAAAAC